rnacentral:rRNA from 1 species
CCUACGGGGGGCAGCAGUGGGGAAUAUUGCACAAUGGGGGAAACCCUGAUGCAGCGACGCCGCGUGAGUGAAGAAGUAUUUCGGUAUGUAAAGCUCUAUCAGCAGGGAAGAAAUAGCGACCUUUGGGUCGCCAGACGGUACCUGCUUAAGAAGCCCCGGCUAACUACGUGCCAGCAGCCGCGGUAAUACGUAGGGGGCAAGCGUUAUCCGGAUUUACUGGGGGUAUAGGGAGCGUAGACGGCGGCGCAAGGCUGAGGUGAAAUGCCGGGGCCUAACCCCGGAACUGCUGUGGAAACUGGGGAGCUAGAGUGCGGGAGAGGCAAGUGGAAUGCCUGGUGUAGCGGUGAAAUGCGUAGAUAUUAGGCGGAACACCAGUGGCGAAGGCGGCGUACUGGGCUGUAACUGACGUUGAGGCACGAAAGCGUGGGGAGCGAACAGGAUUAGAUACCCUUGUAGUC